rnacentral:rRNA from 1 species
AGUGAACGCUGGCGGUAGGCCUAACACAUGCAAGUCGAACGGCAGCACAGUAAGAGCUUGCUCUUACGGGUGGCGAGUAGCGGACGGGUGCGGAAUACAUCGGAAUCUACUUUUUCGUGGGGGCUAACGUAGGGACACUUACGCUAAUACCGCAUACGACCUACGGGUGAAAGCAGGGGAUCUUCGGACCUUGCGCGAUUGAAUGAGCCGAUGUCGGAUUAGCUAGUUGGCGGGGUAAAGGCCCACCAAGGCGACGAUCCGUAGCUGGUCUGAGAGGAUGAUCAGCCACACUGGAACUGAGACACGGUCCAGACUCCUACGGGAGGCAGCAGUGGGGAAUAUUGGACAAUGGGCGCAAGCCUGAUCCAGCCAUACCGCGUGGGUGAAGAAGGCCUUCGGGUUGUAAAGCCCUUUUGUUGGGAAAGAAAAGCAGCAGGUUAAUACCCCGCUGUUCUGACGGUACCCAAAGAAUAAGCACCGGCUAACUUCGUG